rnacentral:rRNA from 1 species
AUUUCCCUCUUUCUUCAGGCCUAACACAUGCAAGUCGAACGGCAGCACAGUAGGUGGUGGCGCUUACGGGAGGCGCGUGGCGGACGGGCGCGGUAUACUCCGGAAUCUACUUUUUCGCGGGUGCUAACGUCGGAUAACUCCUGCUAGUACCGCAUACGUCCUACGGGUGACCGCCGGGGAUCUUGGGACCUUGCGCGUUAGAUCGCGCCGCAGUCGGAUUAGCUAGUGGGCGGGGUCAAGGCCCACCAAGGCGACGAUCCGUAGCUGGUCUGAGAGGAUGAUCAGCCACACUGGAACUGAGACACGGUCCAGACUCCUACGGGAGGCAGCAGUGGGGAAUAUUGGACAAUGGGCGCAAGCCUGAUCCAGCCAUACCGCGUGGGUGAAGAAGGCCUUCGGGUUGUAAAACCCUUUUGUUGGGAAAGAAAAGCAGCAGGUUAAUACCCCGCUGUUCUGACGGUACCCAAAGAAUAAGCACCGGCUAACUUCGUG